GACGAACGCUGGCGGCGUGCUUAACACAUGCCAGUCGUACGGUAAGGCCCUUUCGGGGGUACACGAGUGGCGAACGGGUGAGUAACACGUGAGUAACCUGCCCACAACUUUGGGAUAACGCUAGGAAACUGGUGCUAAUACUGGAUAUGUGCCCCUGCUGCAUGGUGGGGGUUGGAAAGCUCCGGCGGUUGUGGAUGGACUCGCGGCCUAUCAGCUUGUUGGUGGGGUAGUGGCCUACCAAGGCGGCGACGGGUAGCCGGCCUGAGAGGGUGACCGGCCACAUUGGGACUGAGAUACGGCCCAGACUCCUACGGGAGGCAGCAGUGGGGAAUAUUGCACAAUGGCGCAAGCCUGAUGCAGCAACGCCGCGUGCGGGAGGACGGCCUUCGGGUUGUAAACCGCUUUCAGCAGGGACGAAGCUUUUUGUGACGGUACCUGCAGAAGAAGCACCGGCUAACUACGUG
rnacentral:rRNA from 1 species